UUUGAGCUUCCCAACAUGGCACAGUCGGUUAAUAUCACCGAGCUGAAUUUGCCGCAGCUAGAAAUGCUCAAGAACCAGCUGGACCAGGAAGUGGAGUUCUUGUCCACGUCCAUUGCCCAGCUCAAGGUGGUUCAGACCAAGUAUGUGGAAGCCAAGGACUGUCUGAACGUGUUGAAGAAAAACAACGAGGGGAAAGAAUUACUUGUACCACUGACGAGUUCUAUGUAUGUCCCCGGGAAGCUACAUGAUGUGGAACAUGUGCCUAUCGAUGUGGGAACUGGCUACUAUGUAGAGAAGACAGCUGAGGAUGCCAAGGACUUCUUCAAGAGGAAGAUAGACUUCCUUACCAAGCAAAUGGAAAAAAAUCCAGCCAGCUCUGCAGGAGAAGCACGCCAUGAAACAGGCUGUCAUGGAGAUGAUGAGCCAGAAGAUUCAGCAGCUCACAACCCUGGGAGCAGCUCAGGCUACCACCAGGCCUGAGAGCUUGUUUCAGGAAUGGGGCAGAGGGUGCCUGCUUCUGGGCCCUGGGACUUUGUGGACGUGGUUUCCUGGAAUGGGGGAAGAAGAGGGUCUGUGUUUAAUGCUAAUAAAUGAGCCAGCUGGGGGAAAAAAAAAAAAGAUAUUUGAAAGAAGUGAAAACAGCCCCCACACAGACACCCUCUCAGCCCCCAGGCUCCUCAGCCAUGUAGUCACCACUUCUGGAGCAUCCCUGUUAGCAGUUCUUGUGCGUCCUCAUCCAAAGCAUUCUGAGUUUAAAGGGCAGGAGUGUGCAAAGGUGAUCAAGGGCUGGAAGAAUAUGCUUCUGUAUCUUCCUUCAUCACAUCUGUAUCCUCUGGUGAGGCCAUUCAAGUAACUGGGAUGCAAUAUUCCAAAUGAAACGGAAUCUCGGCCUACUAAAGUCCAUAGUGGAUGUAUCUCAAGGCAACGUCAAAACUCCCACCACCGAAACCACUGCAAGGGAU